rnacentral:rRNA from 1 species
UACGUAGGGUGCAAGCGUUAAUCGGAAUUACUGGGCGUAAAGCGUGCGCAGGCGGUGAUGUAAGACAGAUGUGAAAUCCCCGGGCUCAACCUGGGAACUGCAUUUGUGACUGCAUCGCUGGAGUGCGGCAGAGGGGGAUGGAAUUCCGCGUGUAGCAGUGAAAUGCGUAGAUAUGCGGAGGAACACCGAUGGCGAAGGCGAGUCCCUGGACACUUCCUGACACUGAGGCACGAAAGCUAGGGGAGCAAACAGG